rnacentral:lncRNA from 1 species
AAGCAUGGUAACUGUCACUUUCUCCUUCAUAACUUUUUCCUCACAAGCCUUCCAAGAAUACACUGAAGUUGUGGUAUCUUCCCAUCCAAGAGUGAGCAGGACCCCAUGUGGUGCUGGAGACAGAUGAGAGGAGCUUGAAAGAAGGAAGCCGUGGGAAUGCCUGGCCAAGGCAUUUGACCAACAGUGACUUGAGAGCUGUGGGACCCUCACGAGAUGCCGCAGAUAGAAUACCUGACCAAAACCACUUACAGAUGGUAGAGUUUAUUUUACUUUGGCUCAUAUAUCAUUGGCAUGAAGUCAUGGCAUCAGGAAUGUGCGACAACUGGUUCCACUUCACCUACCAGCAAGAAGCAUAGAGAGGAGAUUACAGUUAAUAGAGUACAUGAAUCUCAGAAGAGACUUUGAACUUUAGACCUUUAAAUAAAGUUGUAGAACUCUCAGCUCCUUCUCCAGCACCAUGUCUGCCUUCACACCACUAUGUCCUGCCAUGAUGAUAAUGGACUAAAUCUCUGAAAAUAUCACCCUCAAUUCCUAAGAAUCCAGCUGGACCUUUGCUUGAAGUGUAUGAGAAAGAUUGUGGUUCCUUGGAAGAGCAGGACAUCCUGGCAUCACAGUGCUGUCUAUGAUGGAGACUUCUCAAUGUAAUGGUUAUGACAUUUUAUGCACAACAGACCUUUAUCUUUCCUGUUGCAGUUAUCUAUAGGGGGGUUGGAGUACGAUCGUUGACUGUAGGAGUAUCUGCUGUGUGGUGGGCUGUCACAAGUAUGUGAAAGACUUACUGGCACCAUGCAGAGGUUCCUGUAGAUGGAGGUUUCUGUCCCACCUGGUCUGUACAGACCUCCAGCCCUCUAUGGUUUGCUAGUUGUGAGCUCCAUUCUCUGACCGACCCCAAGACAGGCUUUGUUUAAGAAAGGUAUCACCACAGGUUCCAAUAGUAUCUGAGUAAGCAGUCAUUAUCCAAGAUGUGUCUUUUUAAAAUGCUGACUACCUCAGUCAUGGACUUGAGUGGCCUUGCUCUAUCUCAGUGUCAGUGUCUCCAGCGUCUCAGGAGUGAGCCUUAACU